CAAAUAUUUUACUUUCAUAUACGCAUAACAUUCAAAAGCUUCGUCGAAAUCAAUUUUAGGGUUCCAAAGUUAGAUUCCCAAAUUUUUUGUCGACUGGACGGAGGAGUGUUAAAAGCUUACAAUACAGAUUCAGAUCCAAAAUUACAAAUUAAAAACUGCAUAAUCAUACAAUUUCAUCACUUAAACUAACUAAUCACAGCCAAUUAGACACAGAUCGUAACAUACCUUUUGAACACGCGAGAGAUUAUUCGAAGCACAUCAAGGAACAUGCACAAUGAUAACAGGCACGAAAGAGGAAGAAAAAGAAGUAUUGAAGAGGAAGAAGACAAAGGAACGUGCAGAGAUUGAAGAGGAGGCUAGGACUAGAGAGGAGGAAGAGACGAAAAUAUUGUGUGGUGGUGGGUAGUGAGAUGAUAUCAUGAUAAAGAGAAAUGAAAAAUUUAUGGUGUAGAAGUAGAAAUAUUGUGAUGUAAAAAAUUGUGGUGUAGCUAACCGGACCUUAAUGAGUUCUUGCUUACAAUAUAUGGCUACUGCUAUUUCAUGCCUGCACUGCUGUGUCUGUUCAUGGAUAUACUUAUUUUUGGUUGAGAUCCAUUAAU
rnacentral:lncRNA from 1 species